rfam:Camelus ferus unplaced genomic scaffold scaffold303, whole genome shotgun sequence.
GAGGGUAUAGCUCAAAUGGUAGAGCGCAUGCUUAGCAUGCAUGAGGUCCUGGGGUUCAAUCCCCAGUGUCUCCU